GAGAGGCUCAGUUUGUGAGUAGCUGUGGUGUGGUGAGAGGUGGAGCUGCUAGCUCUUCUUUGGCUCACUUUCUCUCAGUUGUCUUAAUUUCUAUACUUCCCUUUCUAUUUUUUUCUUAGUCUCCUCGGUCUACCGAUCCUUAUUUUUUUUUCCCAUUCUACUAGUUUCUUCCUCAUUGUAUUACCUCCGCUUUGUCCUCCCCCACCCCCACUUCCGUGUCACGGCCACACGCUCCUCAACACAGCCCCGCCGUCGUCCCCAGUCAGACCGCUGGAGCUGCAGGCUGUGUUUGACUGCGUGUGUUUUGUUGUCGUCCUGUCCACCAUCGUCAUCCUCCUCCUCCACUGCUGUUCCUGUCAGUAUCCCACCCCAACCUCUGAUGCUGCCGCCACCACCACCAUUACUGCUGCUGGAGGUCUGGAGUACUCUUCAGACAAAUAGUUUGUAUGGCAGAGUAAAUUCCAUCAUGCCGCAGAUUUGUGUCAAACAAGUGAGAAUGAAAAAUGACGCUCCUUCCUCCACUUUUUUAUGGACUUCCCAUAGCAACAAGAACAAGACUGCCUGCCCUCUGACACGUCUUGGUGUCCUCCAUCUCUAAGUUACUCGCAAUACUGCUGAGUUCUCACCCGCUGAAUGCCACAAGCCUUCGUCCUCCCAGAGUUUUCGUACUGAAAGCAUCGCCAGACAUUCGUGGGCUAUCAUCCCCAUCUUUGCAUCUUGCCUCUCUGAUCCUGCUCGGUGCUUACAACCACCCUAGGGUUGGAGACAGCGAGACGGCAUCUGGGAAACGAGAGAUCCUUCCUUAGUCCUGGAAGACGGAGCACCUUAACGUUGAGCAAGCAAGAGUUCAGCGAAUAACUGAACUCUCAGAGAAUUUUGUGAAUUACUACUGUAAA